AUGCGUCUGUUCAUCUCAGUGCUGCUGGCUAUGUGCCUUGAAUGCAGAGCACAAAAAGAAAACGUGCUGCAACCAAAAGGAGACGUGACCGCUACUGAAGGAGAAGCAGUAACACUUGACUGUGGAUAUAACAGCAGUUCAAAUACUCCAGAUCUCUACUGGUACAAACAGGAUGGAAACCACAGCCCCAAAUUCAUCCUGAGCCGCUUUAAACUGGAUGAAGGAAACACAGCAGACGACCACAAGGAGAGAUUUUCAUCCACUCUGAAUUCCACCGUCAGAUCAGUUCCUCUGAAGAUCCAGAAGCUUCAGGUGUCUGACUCUGCUGUGUACUACUGUGCUCUGAGGCCCACAGUUACAGGAAACACCAAAACUCUGCAGUAA